rnacentral:rRNA from 1 species
GACCGAGGGUGCAAACGUUGUUCGGAAUUACUGGGCGUAAAGCGCGUGUAGGCGGCCCUGCAAGUCGGAUGUGAAAUCCCAUGGCUCAACUAUGGAAGUGCAUUCGAAACUGCAGGGCUAGAGUCCUGGAGAGGAAGGUGGAAUGCUUGGUGUAGAGGUGAAAUUCGUAGAUAUCAAGCGGAACACCGGUGGCGAAGGCGGCCUUCUGGACAGUGACUGACGCUGAGACGCGAAAGCGUGGGGAGCGAACAGG